AUUUAAGUAGCUUAAGUUUAAAGCGUGAUAUUGAAGAUAUUACAAUAAGAGUAUUCUUCUUAAAUA
rnacentral:tRNA from 1 species